AGACCCGAAACCCGGUGAUCUAGCCAUGGGCAGGUUGAAGGUUGGGUAACACUAACUGGAGGACCGAACCGACUAAUGUUGAAAAAUUAGCGGAUGACCUGUGGCUGGGGGUGAAAGGCCAAUCAAACCGGGAGAUAGCUGGUUCUCCCCGAAAGCUAUUUAGGUAGCGCCUCGUGAAUUCAUCUCCGGGGGUAGAGCACUGUUUCGGCUAGGGGGCCAUCCCGGCUUACCAACCCGAUGCAAACUGCGAAUACCGGAGAAUGUUAUCACGGGAGACACACGGCGGGUGCUAACGUCCGUCGUGAAGAGGGAAACAACCCAGACCGCCAGCUAAGGUCCCAAAGUCAUGGUUAAGUGGGAAACGAUGUGGGAAGGCCCAGACAGCCAGGAUGUUGGCUUAGAAGCAGCCAUCAUUUAAAGAAAGCGUAAUAGCUCACUGGUCGAGUCGGCCUGCGCGGAAGAUGUAACGGGGCUAAACCAUGCACCGAAGCUGCGGCAGCGACACUCAGGUGUUGUUGGGUAGGGGAGCGUUCUGUAAGUCUGCGAAGGUGGCCUGUGAGGGUUGCUGGAGGUAUCAGAAGUGCGAAUGCUGACAUAAGUAACGAUAAAGCGGGUGAAAAGCCCGCUCGCCGGAAGACCAAGGGUUCCUGUCCAACGUUAAUCGGGGCAGGGUGAGUCGACCC
rnacentral:rRNA from 1 species